AGCCGCCUGCUACUCAACGGUUCACCAGAAAGACAACGAACAUCUUCACCGGAAAAAUCCUAACCAUCCAAGCUAGUUAAAAACAGCAACUACACCAGACUAAGCAAAAGACAAACCUAUCUCUCAACCGGCCGAAGACAAAACCAGAUGGGUAAAAAGAAACUAGUCGAGACGCGCUGCUCACCUUGC